rnacentral:rRNA from 1 species
AGUGGCGGACGGGUGAGUAACGCGUGAGAAUCUGCCUUCAGGUCGGGGACAACAGAGGGAAACUUCUGCUAAUCCCGGAUGAGCCUUAAGGUAAAAAAUUUAUUGCCUGGAGAUGAGCUCGCGUCUGAUUAGCUAGUUGGUAAGGUAAAAGCUUACCAAGGCAACGAUCAGUAGCUGGUCUGAGAGGAUGAGCAGCCACACUGGGACUGAGACACGGCCCAGACUCCUACGGGAGGCAGCAGUGGGGAAUUUUCCGCAAUGGGCGAAAGCCUGACGGAGCAAGACCGCGUGGGGGAGGAAGGCUCUAGGGUUGUAAACCCCUUUUCUUUGGGAAGAACAAAAUGACGGUACCAAAGGAAUCAGCCUCGGCUAACUCCGUGCCAGCAGCCGCGGUAAUACGGAGGAGGCAAGCGUUAUCCGGAAUGAUUGGGCGUAAAGCGUCCGCAGGUGGCAAUGUAAGUCUGCUGUCAAAACCCAGGGCUCAACUCUGGUCAGGCAGUGGAAACUACAUAGCUAGAGUUCGGUAGGGGCAAAGGGAAUUCCCGGUGUAGCGGUGAAAUGCGUAGAGAUCGGGAAGAACAUCGGUGGCGAAAGCGCUUUGCUAGACCGAAACUGACACUCAGGGACGAAAGCUAGGGGAGCGAAUGGGAUUAGAUACCCC